GUGAAGAUUCAUCCUGAUGGGGCCUUUCCUACAGCCAUGUAUCACUAUUAAUACCUGAUAGAGUAACUAUGGUUUUUGUUUACUCACAGAACUAUUCAUUAGUUCUAUGAGAAAGAACUAAAAGAUACUU
ensembl:snoRNA